rnacentral:rRNA from 1 species
UACGGAGGAUGCGAGCGUUAUCCGGAUUUAUUGGGUUUAAAGGGAGCGUAGGCCGGUCUUUAAGCGUGCCGUGAAAUUUUGUGGCUCAACCAUGAGAGUGCGGCGCGAACUGGAGACCUUGAGUGCGCGGAAGGCAGGCGGAAUUCGUGGUGUAGCGGUGAAAUGCUUAGAUAUCACGAAGAACCCCGAUUGCGAAGGCAGCCUGCCGCAGCGUUACUGACGCUGAAGCACGAGAGCGUGGGUAGCGAACAGG